rnacentral:rRNA from 1 species
UUCCGGUUGAUCCUGCCGGACCUUACUGCUAUCGGGGUGGGACUAAGACAUGCGAGUCGAGCGUCUCUAGCUAUGUUGAGACGCGGCAGACGGCUCAGUAACACGUGGCUAACCUACCCUCAGGACGAGGAUAAACCCGGGAAACUGGGGCUAAUACUCGAUAGGUGAGAAUGUCUGGAAUGAUUUCUCAUUCAAAGGGCUUUAGAAACAUGCUUCUAAAGUCGCCUGGGGAUGGGGCCGCGUCCGAUCAGGUUGUUGGUGAGGUAACGGCUCACCAAGCCUAUAACCGGUACGGGCCGUGAGAGCGGUAGCCCGGAGAUGGGUACUGAGACAAGGACCCAGGCCCUACGGGGCGCAGCAGUCGCGAAAACUCCGCAAUGCACGAAAGUGUGACGGGGCUACCCCGAGUGCCAUCCGCUGAGGAUGGCUUUUCUUUGGUGUAACUAGCCGGGGGAAUAAGGAGAGGGCAAGACUGGUGUCAGCCGCCGCGGUAAUACCAGCUCUCCGAGUGGUAGGGAUGAUUAUUGGGCUUAAAGCGUCCGUAGCCGGCUUAGCAAGUCUCCUGUUAAAUUCAGCGACCUAAUCGUUGAGCCGCGGGAGAUACUACUAGGCUAGGAGGCGGGAGAGGUCGACGGUACUUCUGGGGUAGGGGUGAAAUCCUAUAAUCGCGGGAGGACCACCAGUGGCGAAAGCUGUUGACUAGAACGCGCUCGACGGUGAGAGACGAAAGCUGGGGGAGCGAACCGGAUUAGAUACCCGGGUAGUCCCAGCCGUAAACGAUGCGAGCUAUGUGUUGGGGUGGCCUACGUGCCACUUCAGUGCCGCGGGGAAGUCCAUUACGCCCGCCGCCCUGCGGUAGGACGGCCCGCAAGCCUGAAACGUAAACGCACUGGUCGGGAUGGAGCACCUACCAAGCCGUGAUAGCUGCAGGUCCAGGUGGGAAUCAACGCCCGGU